rnacentral:lncRNA from 1 species
UAGAAUCUGAAUUGGAGCUUAAUACUGUGACUAUCUACUUGCACAUGUUGGACUUGGAUAUGACUUAGAAGAAAACUGCGAUUAUGAUCUGUCAUAUGUUUAAACUACCUGAUUUAGCUCUAGGAGCCGUUGUUAUUUUGUAUCGCCGCAGUAUCGGCGUGGUGAAUACCCCAAAUAGUUUAGAUUUCAGUUACGCUCGUGCUGGGAUGCCGAGUGUAUUUUUACAGUAGCAUUCAGACUGUUCUGAACUGUUGGGGGCCGUCGGGGUUGACGGUGAACCCAUAUUGCCGUUUUGGCGUCAGAUUGUGCCGA